AGAGUUUGAUCCUGGCUCAGGACGAACGCUGGCGGCGUGCUUAACACAUGCAAGUCGAACGGGGCAUAGAGAUAUGCCUAGUGGCGGACGGGUGAGUAACACGUGAGCAACCUAUCCUAUACAACGGGAUAACACAGAGAAAUUUGUGCUAAUACGGUAUAAGACCACACUCCGGCAUCGGAGAGGGGUAAAAGCUGAGGCGGUAUAGGAGGGGCUCGCGGCCCAUUAGCUAGUUGGAGAGGUAACGGCUCACCAAGGCGACGAUGGGUAGCCGAUCUGAGAGGAUGAACGGCCACAUUGGAACUGAGAAACGGUCCAAACUCCUACGGGAGGCAGCAGUGGGGAAUAUUGGGCAAUGGAGGCAACUCUGACCCAGCAACGCCGCGUGAAUGAAGAAGGUCUUCGGAUUGUAAAGUUCUUUAGCGAGGGACGAAAAGAAUGACGGUACCUCGAGAAUAAGCCACGACUAACUACGUGCCAGCAGUCGCGGUAAUACGUAGGUGGCGAGCGUUGUCCGGAAUGACUGGGCGUAAAGGGAGCGUAGGCGGCACAACAAGUUAGGAGUGAAAUACCGUGGCUUAACCACGGAACUGCUUUUAAAACUGUUGAGCUAGAGUGAUGGAGAGGAAAGCGGAAUUCCUAGUGUAGCGGUGGAAUGCGUAGAUAUUAGGAGGAACACCAGAGGCGAAGGCGGCUUUCUGGACAUUAACUGACGCUGAGGCUCGAAAGCGUGGGGAGCAAACAGGAUUAGAUACCCUGGUAGUCCACGCCGUAAACGAUGGAUACUAGAUGU
rnacentral:rRNA from 1 species